rnacentral:rRNA from 1 species
UACGAAGGGGGCUAGCGUUGCUCGGAUUGACUGGGCGUAAAGGGCGCGUAGGCGGUUCGUACAGUCAGACGUGAAAUUCCUGGGCUCAACCUGGGGGCUGCGUUUGAUACGUGCGGACUUGAGUGCGGAAGAGGGUCGUGGAAUUCCCAGUGUAGAGGUGAAAUUCGUAGAUAUUCGGAGGAACACCAGUGGCGAAGGCGGCUCACUGGCGCGAUACUGACGCUGAGGUGCGAAAGCGUGGGGAGCAAACAGG